rnacentral:lncRNA from 1 species
AGAAUGGAGGAGAUGGAAAGUUCUUGAGCUGAAUUUAGUAAAACAGAGACCACCAGAGGAAGUUGUGAGAGACUGACAAUGAUGUACUGAACGAUCAUGAUGGAAAAACAACAUAGUCAAAUGGGGGUUUGCCAUAAGCUUAACUUGUGCAUAGCCUGCUUUGAUAGAGAGCCUUCAGGAUAUUUUCAUCUAUGUGACCUUACCGCCUGUAUACCUUGUACACUACAUAUUUUUAAAAACAAUCUAGGAAGAAAUACCCUAAAUGUGGGAGUAAAAUUGAAGCUAUCAGAAACAUUUAUAUUACUAGAAAGUAUUUGAUAAUAUAAUAGCAAUUCUGACAUGAUUACAAUCAGGUAGAUACUUAAGAGCGGAAAGCAUUUUAAGUUUAACUCUUUACUUCUUUCGAUGUAGGACACAAUGGAGAAUUGUUAACAUGCUUCUUGAAUUUAGAAUAUUAGACACCGAUGCGUCUUUGAAAUUUACUUAUACUGUGAACAGUAUUGGA